rnacentral:rRNA from 1 species
AGAGCGAACGCUGGCGGCAGGCCUAACACAUGCAAGUCGAACGGACCCUUCGGGGUUAGUGGCGGACGGGUGAGUAACACGUGGGAACGUGCCUUUAGGUUCGGAAUAGCUCCUGGAAACGGGUGGUAAUGCCGAAUGUGCCCUUCGGGGGAAAGAUUUAUCGCCUUUAGAGCGGCCCGCGUCUGAUUAGCUUGUUGGUGAGGUAAUGGCUCACCAAGGCUACGAUCAGUAGCUGGUCUGAGAGGAUGACCAGCCACACUGGGACUGAGACACGGCCCAGACUCCUACGGGAGGCAGCAGUGGGGAAUUUGGACAAUGGGGGAAACCCUGAUCCAGCCAUCCCGCGUGUGCGAUGAAGGCCUCGGUUGUAAGCACUUUGGUCGAGGAAGAAACGGACGU